CAGCAGCCACGGUAAUACGUAGGUGGCAAGUGUUGUCCGGAAUUAUUGGGCGUAAAGGGCUCGCAGGCGGUUUCUUAAGUCUGAUGUGAAAGCCCCCGGCUCAACCGGGGAGGGUCAUUGGAAACUGGGAAACUUGAGUGCAGAAGAGGAGAGUGGAAUUCCACGUGUAGCGGUGAAAUGCGUAGAGAUGUGGAGGAACACCAGUGGCGAAGGCGACUCUCUGGUCUGUAACUGACGCUGAGGAGCGAAAGCGUGGGGAGCGAACAGGAUUAGAUACCCCAGUAGUCCCUGUCUCUUAUCC
rnacentral:rRNA from 1 species